UGGCGGCACUAGCGCGGUGGUCCCACCUGACCCCAUGCCGAACUCAGAAGUGAAACGCCGUAGCGCCGAUGGUAGUGUGGGGUCUCCCCAUGCGAGAGUAGGGAACUGCCAGGCA
rnacentral:rRNA from 64 species